AACGUAGGUGGCAAGCGUUAUCCGGAUUUACUGGGCGUAAAGCGUGUGCAGGCGGGUAUCCAAGUGGUGUAUGAAAUCGCUCGGCUCAACCGGGCGGGGUUAUGCCAGACUGGAGACCUUGAGGCUGGAAGAGGGACAUGGAAUUCCGGGUGUAGUGGUGAAAUGCGUAGAGAUCCGGAGGAACUCCAGAGGCGAAGGCGGUGUCCUAGGCCAGACCUGACGCUCAGACACGAGAGCAUGGGGAGCGAACGGG
rnacentral:rRNA from 1 species